UAACGAAGUAUUCCCAACAGA
rnacentral:piRNA from 1 species